GGGGCAGUAUCGAUCAACCAUCGAACUGCACUCUGAUGUACAAGUAAGCCGCAUUACAGCAUUUUCAAUUGAAUCUUGAACGACUUUGUGGAAAGUGGAUUCUGCUCUGAGCCGAAGGGACCGAGACAGAAGG
rfam:Paenibacillus selenitireducens strain ES3-24 ES3-24_scaffold1, whole genome shotgun sequence.